UUAAUAAAGAGUUUGAUCCUGGCUCAGGACGAACGCUGGCGGCACGCUUAACACAUGCAAGUCGAACGGACGAGGGAGAGCUUGCUCUCCUUAGUUAGUGGCGGACGGGUGAGUAACACGUGAGCAACCUGCCUUUAAGAGUGGAAUAACGUCUGGAAACGGACGCUAAUACCGCAUAAUAUAUUUGUAUCGCAUGGUAUGAAUAUCAAAGAUUUAUCGCUUAGAGAUGGGCUCGCGUCUGAUUAGCUUGUUGGUGAGGUAACGGCCCACCAAGGCGACGAUCAGUAGCCGGACUGAGAGGUUGAACGGCCACAUUGGGACUGAGACACGGCCCAGACUCCUACG
rnacentral:rRNA from 1 species